UACGUAGGCAGCGAGCGUUGUUCGGAGUUACUGGGCGUAAAGGGUGUGUAGGCGGUUGUUUAAGUUUGGUGUGAAAUCUCCCGGCUCAACUGGGAGGGUGCGCCGAAUACUGAAUGACUAGAGUGCGGGAGAGGAAAGUGGAAUUCCUGGUGUAGCGGUGAAAUGCGUAGAUAUCGGGAGGAACACCAGUGGCGAAGGCGACUACCUGGCCUGUUCUUGACGCUGAGGCGCGAAAGCUAGGGGAGCAAACGGG
rnacentral:rRNA from 1 species